UUAACGCAGGAAGCAGCAUCCUGCUGAACCUGACUUGUGAACUGUCAUUGAUAAUUAAGAGUUCGGUCUCCUUAGCUCCAAUAACAUUAUACUGAGUUUGUUAUGGAAACAUAUGCAAUAAUUAUAUAAAAAAAAUCAUACAGACAUGAGGAAAAGCUUAUAAAAUAAAUUGAUGCCAUUGAUUUCAUGUAUACGUUGACUAGGUCCCUCGAGCACCUCGGAUGAAUAUGUAUAAAUUAUAUAGUAAAUUUUUAUUUUUAUUUUAUUAUCUACUAUAAUGGUCAAGUUUGUAGUCAAAUUCAUCUCUUAAUUUAUGAUAACAAUGAAAAAAUAUGAUACUGAAUAACAACAAUUCAAUCCUUUCAAUAUAAAUUAAACAGCACCUGCCUAUACCUACAUGACGGUAAUUACUAUUGCUCGUUUCGAAACACGUAGUACAACAACAAAUUAUGAGAAAUAUAUACAUAUAUAUGAAAAGGGCCUUUAACCUGAACUAUUCUCGGGCCCCGCACCUGGGGAAAGGAAUAAGGAAAGAAAAAAAAAUAUUAUUAUUAUAAUUAUUAUUAUUAUAGCAAUACCAGAAAGUGGCAUUAUCAAUAUGAUCUAAAAGCAAUAGUGGUUACUAUUAUUAAGAUAACCAUUAUCUAGCUACUAUUACUAUCACCAUUAGAGGGAGAGGAGCUGAAAAUUUUCCUAGUGCAUUUCACACCUCAGUCUAGCGCUAUUGCAUCCUACACAUUUGGCAACACUGCUUGCGUGUGUGGGGCCGAGGAUAAAAGCACAAGCAGCAGCAGGACCGACGCAGUCCCUCGCCAGAUCCAUGGAUCUCUGCCACACAUCGCCGCCCACUCUGAGCCUGCUACGAGAGCGCGGCGCCGGUGGAGGCUGGAGCUCGGGGCUCACUGACUGCGAGGAGGAUGAGAAGGCUCGGUGCGGCGCGAGGAAGCCCAAGAUGUUCGAGAUGGGCCCGCUGGAAGACCCUGCCAUGGAGGAGCGUCGGCAGCGGGCCAUCUACGCCAGGAGGAGCCGCGAGAACAGGAAGAGGGAAAUAGCGGAACUACAGCGCGAGGUGGAGGCGCUGCGGGAUAUUAAGGAACAGUGCCAAGAGAUGGUUGCGAACGUGAACCGCCUAGCGCAGAGUCAGCAGUGCAAGAUUAAGCAGCUGGAGCAGAGUCUCGCCAAUGCUCGCCAACAAUUGAGGGCGAGGGACGAGCAGCUUCAGAGUAACCAGGAGAGGCUGAGCCGCAUGAAAACCCACCUCGAGAUGAUCACCGAGGGCUGCGAGGAGAACAGCAUGGUGCGCCGCAUGAUCCUCAACCUGCUCGCCAUCAACACCAGCUAGUGUGCGGGGCCCAUAGUCUCACAUAUAUUGGGGCUUACACAACAACAUAUGACAUGAAAAGUGAAAAUUGCUGCACACAACAGUCUGCCGUCUGCACCGGGAGGCAAGGCAGCUCAAAGCCCAGGCUGUUACAACUCCUGGGCAGUUUUUGCCCAGAGCCAGCAAUUUUUUAGAUCCAAUAGGGAUGGAUUUUUUCUGAGGUCAGGUUCAACAUGCUGCAAGAUGCCAAGAUCUAAGCCUAGUAGAAGAUAUGGGUUACAAGAGAGGAGGUUUGCUCUGGCCUUAUACUAUCAAAGUCCAAAUGCUAAUAGAUUUCUGAGCACAGUAUUUCACUUGCCUUCAAUUUCAACACUUCACUCAUGACUCAGGGGUAUUUCAGUACAUGUUGGCUGGAGCAAACAGACUCUGACAGCCCUGCAGCAAAGAGCACAGGCUUUGUCAAAAGAAGAGAAACUUCGUGGGAUUUGCCAUUAUUUAGUAUUACUCUUGUUACGCCAAGAAUUUUUUUCCAUAUACUUUGCCAAAUAUUGCAAGUAAUGCACCAUUGUUGGGCUUACCUGUUAUAAAUCAGAUCUUGUUCAAUUAACAAGCUUUGGGUGUCUGCCACUUUUAAGUUGUAAUGCAAGGAAUCAUUUAUCUUCCCUGCUAGAUAUCACAUGUAAUGCACCAUUGUUGGUUUUGCCUGUUAUAAAUCAGAUCUUGUUCAGUUAACAAGCUUUAAGUGUCUGCCACUUUCCAAUUGUAAUGCAAGGAAUCCCCUGCCAGAUAUCACAUGUAAUGCACCAUUGUUGGUUUUGCCUGUUAUAAAUCAGAUCUUGUUCAGUUAACAAGCUUUAGGUGUCUGCCACUUUCCAGUUGUAAUGCAAGGAAUCCCCUGCCAGAUAUCGCAUGUAAUGCACCAUUGUUGGUUUUGCCUGUUAUAAAUCAGAUCUUGUUCAGCUCACAAGCUUUGAAUAUCUGCCAUUGUUUAUUUCAGGUGUAAUGCUUGGAAACAUUUGUUCUCUCCCCUACCCAACAGUAUGCAAUACUUUAUUGUGGAUUUUGCCUGUUAUGUUUAAUCUUGUUUAGGUAACAAACUUUUGGUGUCUGCCUUACCUAAUAUGUGCUGCAGUGACACUUGGCUUGGUUUCAUGAUGUGAAAUACAGCAUGUAAUUUCAUCACACUAAGUGUCUAUUAUCACGUGUCUGGCAUCAUUAAUGUGGCUUCCAGGAGUAAUCUUGUUUGUAUUACAGCACGCAAUUUUUUUUUGCUUUAUAUGAUAUAUAUAAUCACAUAGGUUUGAUUUACAAAAUGUAAUGGCAGUUGAUAUUCUUGCCUAAUGCCUCAUAAACCGUGUGAAAAAUAAUGCUCUUUUGAGAGGGGGGGGGGAGGGUGUACAGAGAAUGGUUUGUUUGGUUGGCCAGUUCAAGGAGUUUCAUAUCAAAUGAUUUUAUUACAUCCAACUUUAAUGUGUGCUAAAAACAUAUAUUUUAUUACAUCCAACUUUAAUGUGUGCUAAAAACAUAUAUUUUAUUACAUCCAACUUUAAUGUGUGCUUCCUGCAAUAAAUGCUACAUGUUUACUGAUGUAGCCUACGAAAUACAUAUCACUCUCUGCCCUGUAAUUUAAUUGGUGUGUCACAUACUGCAGCAUAACUUUCCUGCUAUUUUCUUACACUAUGAGUUGCCUUAUUUUGUCUCAUUUGCUUUUAUCAUAUGUGCCUCCGCUGCAUAGUUGUGCCUACUGAGCUUAAUAUCUUCAUGACCCUGACACCAAGGUCAGAGCUUGUGAGAUCAUACCGUGUCCUACAUUCCAUUUUCACUUCCAGGCUUGGCUGUCUCCCAGGACCACCAAGUUAUUGCAUUCCAUUUACGACAACUCAUGUGUUACCUUCUUAAUGUCCUCCAUCAUGUAUUUCAGCAUGUUUUAUGAUGCUUUGCUCUUAUAUUGAUGUGCCUUGCAACAUUUUUAUACAGUUUUCAUUGUAUAUAAUGCACCAUUGUUGGUUUUGCCUGUUAUAAAUCGGGUCAUGUUCAGUUAACAAGCUUUGAGUGUCUCCCAUUGUUUAUUUCAGUUGUAAUGCUUAUAGAAGCUUUUGUUCUCUGCCCUGUCAAGCAGUAUGCAAUGCUUGCCAUUAUCUGGCACUUGUACAGUUAGUAUGAUAUUUUUACUCAGCUAAGAGCAUUUUGCAAAAGGUAAAGGUAAGGCUGGGGGCAUACGCUGUAGCAGCGCGUGGCCUCGGUGCUCAUCUCUGUAACAUUGGCCCUUGAGCCUGUGGUGUUAGGGAACCCAUUACCCUGGGACACAGGACCAGUGUGACAUCCGGGUUACCACAGUUGCAAAGGCAUUAUAGUAAUUUAGCAUGCAUAGAAUGUUGUAUGCUUUGCUUGUAUUUAAAGCACUGGAUAUGUUUGCUACACACACACACACACACACACA